rnacentral:lncRNA from 1 species
GUAUACAUGUUGACAUCAUGCAUUAUAGGAUAUGUGGUUAAAUGUAUUUCAAUUCUUUGCAUACUUUCUUGGUAGAAAUAAAAAUCAUGAGUUGGACACAUGAUUAGUGGACGCAUGAGGAUUGGGUCUUGACAUGAAAUCCUAUAGUGCCGAGAACAAUUGUGAACUUAAACAAUGUAGUGACGUAGAGGGUGGCAUUUGGAACUAGUGUAUAGAUGACACUCAUGACAUGGAUAUUGGGAUUUGUAGAUUCCCGAGUGUGUGGUUAUCCCUAGUUGGUAGGGUAUCCUCGAGCUUAGAGAAUUGAAUCGUACUCACUUAGUCUGUUUUAGCUUGGCGGUGGUCGCUCCACCCAAGCAGUGGGUUCCGGAGUCGUCACACAUUGGGUUAACGUACCUAUCUAGCAGACGGUCUCGGAUGAGUGUAGCGCAGAGUCUUCUCACAUAUGGGAUUUGGUUGUGAGUUGGGCUUAACCUUAGGGUUAGUCAGUGUGAUUGGGUUACAAACAGAUGAAUGACAUGCAUCAUGAAUAUAGUGGUUACUUUAUUCAUACCAUGUUGUUGAGGCAUAGUAGCAUGUUCGCAUUUCAUAUCCCUAUAUUUAUCUCUCUACUUAUGCCUACUUAGACCUAGUGGAAAAAUCGGCGGGGUC